CCUAUCUGGAAGCUGUGAGUAGGUGUUCUGGCUGCCACGCAUACGCUGCCAAAGGAAAAAUAUCAGAGGCUUACUGUUUAUUUUCUUUUUGGUGCAUUUUAUACACAGCAGUACAAACUCUGGCAGCUCCUGUCUGACUGAAUCUUACUUACUGUGCAUUUUGGAUGUCACUGCUGUUAAAGUUCGAUUGUGUAGUGUUAGAUGUGGCAGAAAUGUUUAUCCUGUAACUUAUAAUGUCUCCAGAGGACAAUAAAAUGGGCAUGGAUUAUUUUUUUCUGCCUGGCAGGAUACUGGAAAUAAGCUCCUAUAGUGGAAAGUUUGCUGUGAGCAGGGCAGGCUGGUGCAGAGCUACUUGCUGUUCCCAGUCAUUUUGGCAACGUGGAGCAUGAGCUGCAGAACAGGGAGUGCUGACAGUGUGGAUGAACGGGUGCAUUGGGACAGAAAUAACCAAGAGUGAAAAAGAUGUCUCGGUGGCCAACUAGUUUUACAGAUCUUCCCUGGAUGUUUUUGCAUUUGCUAAGAGAUUGCCAACCAUCCACUUGACCCUGCACCUCUGCACUUCUGAUUAACUCAAACUGGACCCAACUUUGCUGAAGAAUCACAGAAUUGCAGGGGUUGGAAGAGACUUCAGGAGAUUGAGUCCAACCCCCCUGCUAAAACAGGCACAGGCAGAGCUCCCACGGAGAAACAUGGGAGGCCCAAAAUGAAUGAUGGAGGAUGGAGGCUUUCAAACAAAGAAACCACAGAUGGAGGCAAGGGAAGACUGUGCUUCUGCCAUACAAAAAGUUCCACUGAGGUGACUACCUCCAAAGACAUUCUGAAGAUAAUUGAGUAAGUGGGUGCGUACCUAUGUACAGAAUAGCAAAAGGCGUUUUGCCCUGUUCUACUUGCUGAACAAUGUUUGCUUGAGAUGUUACAGCAAGGUGAAAAGUUUGUAUUUCCUGCUCCUGCAUUUUAGGCACUGCAUUAUUUCUUCUUAUAUUCACCACUCUUUCACAUGAAGAUAAAGUAGCUGAACAACAGGAGGAAUUAAUAUGACUGUUUUGUUAUUGAAAAAUGCUCAUUAUGGAACUAAGCAUAAAAAUAUUAGUUGAUUUAAACCGACAGAUUGUAACUCUGGAGGAAAUGUAAAGGACCUAGGCUAAACGGCAACAUCUCCAUAUUCUCUUAGAACAAUGCCUUUGGUUAAGUUAAAACUGUGAAAUCGGCCUGGAUCUAUUAGUGACAGCUAUAUUUUAUUAUGAGGCUCAGUUAUAUAAUAAAUGUCAAUCAUUUGUUUUCUUUUAUUGUUUUAAUCAGAAAGGCUUGAAUGCUUGUGAAGAGUCUAAGGGAAAGGGAGUCAUUUGUGUCAGUAAUUUAAUAUCAGAUUUUGUGAGUAAAGAUAAAUGCUGCAUUUAGUUUUGAAAACCAGACACAAGGGCCAGACUACUCCAAUAUAUUCCCUUUUUACUCCUGUUCUAUCACUGAAUCUGGGAUAUACUACUUUCUAUAGAACCACUGAAGAGGCUGGUAAUUUUCAUUCUAUCAUGUUAUAUUAACAGCGUGUCCUUCCCUGUAUCUUUGACCUUGAUGUAUGGAUGUCAGCAUCUGUAAUAUUUUUUCUUUGAAAACACAAAUCCAGGAUGUGUAGAAUUAUAGCGUACCUCUCUGAACUCUUUAAAUAAAUUUCUUGUGUCACCUUGUCCCAUUACGCUAAGAGUUUCAAAAAUGAUAACUGGAUCCUGCUGUGAUGUGAUAAACUUCCCAAGAUGGUUGAGGUAUUUUGAUUUGACAGAGGACAGCAAAUUAGACAUCAAAAUGAUAACAUCUUCAAG
ensembl:lncRNA